UCUCCGUUGGUGAACCAGCGGAGGGAUCAUUACUGGACUCGCAAGACUCCUACAACCCUGUGAACUUAACUAUAAGCACGUUGCUUCGGCGGGUGUCUCGGAGGGGGUUCUCCCUCCCCGAGACGCUAAACCCGCCGGCAGCCUACUAUACUCUGUCGCUUUGCGUUGGCAUCUCGAGUACAAUCAAACAAGUUAAAACUUUCAACAACGGAUCUCUUGGUUCUG
rnacentral:misc_RNA from 1 species